GUGUUCAUUUCAGCAGCACAAAUACUAAAAUUGGAAUGAUACAGAGAAGUUAGCGUGGCACAAUGAUGCCACACAAAUUUGUGAAACGUUCCAUAUUUCU
rnacentral:snRNA from 1 species